rnacentral:rRNA from 1 species
AUUGAACGCUGGCGGCAUGCUUUACACAUGCAAGUCGAACGGUAACAGGCCGCAAGGUGCUGACGACUGGCGCACGGGUGUGAAAUGCACCGAAACGUGCCCAUUCGUGGGGGAUAACUACUCGAAAGACUAGCUAAUACCGCACACGAUUUCUGGACGAAAGCGGGGGACCUUAAGGCAUCGCGCGCUUGGAUCGGCUGAUGUCAGAUUAGGUAGUUUGUGGGGUAAAGCCUCACCACGCCAACGAUCUGUAGCUGGUCUGAGAGGACGAUCAGUCACACUGGGACUGAGACACGGACCAGACUCCUACGGGAGGCAGCAGUGGGGAAUACUGGACAAUGGGCGCAAGCCUGAUCCAGCAAUGCCGCGUGCAGGAAGAAGGCCUUCGGUUUGUAAAGUUCUUUUGUUCGGGAGGAAGGGACUAUGGUUAAUACCCCGCUUUAUUGACGUUACCGUAAGAAUAAGCACCGGCUAACUUCGUG